rnacentral:rRNA from 1 species
UGGGGAAUUUUGGACAAUGGGGGAAACCCUGAUCCAGCCAUCCCGCGUGUGCGAUGAAGGCCUUCGGGUUGUAAAGCACUUUUGGCAGGAAAGAAACGUCGCGGGUUAAUACCCCGCGAAACUGACGGUACCUGCAGAAUAAGCACCGGCUAACUACGUGCCAGCAGCCGCGGUAAUACGUAGGGUGCAAGCGUUAAUCGGAAUUACUGGGCGUAAAGCGUGCGCAGGCGGUUCGGAAAGAAAGAUGUGAAAUCCCAGAGCUUAACUUUGGAACUGCAUUUUUAACUACCGGGCUAGAGUGUGUCAGAGGGAGGUGGAAUUCCGCGUGUAGCAGUGAAAUGCGUGGAUAUGCGGAGGAACACCGAUGGCGAAGGCAGCCUCCUGGGAUAACACUGACGCUCAUGCACGAAAGCGUGGGGAGCAAACAGGAUUAGAUACCCUGGUAGUCCACGCCCUAAACGAUGUCAACUAGCUGUUGGGGCCUUCGGGCCUUGGUAGCGCAGCUAACGCGUGAAGUUGACCGCCUGGGGAGUACGGUCGCAAGAUUAAAACUCAAA